GGUUUUUCUGCAGAUUAAAAUUUCCAGAUUUUUAGUCUUGAGUGUAAUUGCGGCUGAAUUGCACUUAAUUCAGGGGGAAGAAGUCAAAAAGAAAGCCAACUUUCAACUUUAGUCUAAAAACUAGUUCCAGUAAAAAACUGUUAAUGACUGCCUGAACUGCUUUCAAAUUAUCAAGAAGUCUUGAUGGACUUAUUUUCCAUCAGCCUUUUGGAACCUCUUUGUAAGUUUGGCCUCAGUGACAUCUUUAUGUUUCAAAUCUGAUUCACAUGCUUUGUUUAAAAAUAAUUAAGAAUAAAUGCUUUUUAUGUGUGUUUG